rnacentral:tRNA from 1 species
AUCAUUUUGGCUCAGUGGUAGAGCACUUGCCUAGAUGUGCAAGGCACUAGGCUUGAUUCUCAGCACCACAUUAAGAAAAACUAAAUAAAAUUGUGUCCAUCUACAAUUAAAAAAAUAUUUUAAAAAAAUCAAUUGGCUCUAGAGACUGGGGAUGUAACUCAUUGGAAGAGCACUUGCAUAGCAUGCAUGAGGCCCUGUGUUCAAUCCUUAAAAUUGAAA